GCCGGUGUAGCUCAGUUGGUAGAGCAGCGCACUCGUAAUGCGCAGGUCUCCAGUCCGAAUCUGGACACCGGCU
rnacentral:tRNA from 1 species